rnacentral:misc_RNA from 1 species
GACGCUUUCGAGCAGUCAAGACUUCAAUAGCUUCCAAAAUCUAAAGAAAUGAAGCCUCCUGUCACAAAUUUCACUCCCUACUCACAUGCGGAACUCUCAAAAAGAACUUGUUCGCACAUAUUCUCCAACUAAAAGAAAAGGCACCAGGCAAGCAAAAAACAUUGAUUUCGCCCUUAAGACAAAAAUAACAAUUUACAAGAUAAAACUACUUAUAAAACU